rnacentral:rRNA from 1 species
AGUUGUAUCCUGGCUCANANCGAACGCUGGCGGCAGGCCUAAUACAUGCAAGUCGAGCGCGCCCUUCGGGGUGAGCGGCGGACGGGUGAGUAACGCGUGGGAAUAUGCCCUUCUCUAAGGAAUAGCCUCUGGAAACGGAGAGUAAUACCUUAUACGCCCUUUGGGGGAAAGAUUUAUCGGAGAAGGAUUAGCCCGCGUUAGAUUAGGUAGUUGGUGGGGUAAUGGCCUACCAAGCCUACGAUCUAUAGCUGGUUUGAGAGGAUGAUCAGCCACACUGGGACUGAGACACGGCCCAGACUCCUACGGGAGGCAGCAGUAGGGAAUCUUANACAAUGGGGGCAACCCUGAUCUAGCCAUGCCGCGUGUGUGAUGAAGGCCUUAGGGUCGUAAAGCACUUUCGCCAGAGAUGAUAAUGACAGUAUCUGGUAAAGAAACCCCGGCUAACUCCGUGCCAGCAGCCGCGGUAAUACGGAGGGGGUUAGCGUUGUUCNGAAUUACUGGGCNUAAAGCGCACGUAUGCGGAUUAGUAAGUUAGAGGUGAAAUCCCAGGGCUCAACCCUGGANCUGCCUUUAAUACUGCUAGUCUUGAGUUC